GAGUUUGAUCCUGGCUCAGAUUGAACGCUGGCGGCAGGCCUAACACAUGCAAGUCGAGCGGCAGCGACUUAACUGAACCUUCGGGGAACGUUAAGGGCGGCGAGCGGCGGACGGGUGAGUAAUGCCUGGGAAUAUGCCCUGAUGUGGGGGAUAACUAUUGGAAACGAUAGCUAAUACCGCAUAAUCUCUUCGGAGCAAAGAGGGGGACCUUCGGGCCUCUCGCGUCAGGAUUAGCCCAGGUGGGAUUAGCUUGUUGGUGAGGUAAUGGCUCACCAAGGCAACGAUCCCUAGCUGGUCUGAGAGGAUGAUCAGCCACACUGGAACUGAGACACGGUCCAGACUCCUACGGGAGGCAGCAGUGGGGAAUAUUGCACAAUGGGGGAAACCCUGAUGCAGCCAUGCCGCGUGUGUGAAGAAGGCCUUCGGGUUGUAAAGCACUUUCAGUAGGGAGGAAGGUAGUGUAGUUAACACCUGCAUUAUUUGACGUUACCUACAGAAGAAGCACCGGCUAACUCCGUGCCAGCAGCCGCGGUAAUACGGAGGGUGCGAGCGUUAAUCGGAAUUACUGGGCGUAAAGCGCAUGCAGGCGGCCUGUUAAGUCAGAUGUGAAAGCCCGGGGCUUAACCUCGGAAUUGCAUUUGAAACUGGCAGGCUAGAGUCUUUGUAGAGGGGGGUAGAAUUUCANGUGUAGCGGUGAAAUGCGUANAGAUCUGAAGGAAAUACCAGUGGCGAAGGCGGCCCCCNUGGACAAAGACUGACGCUCAUAUGCGAAAGCGUGGGGGAGCAAACAAGAAUUAAAUACCCUGNUAGUCCACGCCCGAAAACUAUGUCUACUUGGNA
rnacentral:rRNA from 1 species